CCUACGGGUGGCUGCAGUGGGGAAUAUUGCGCAAUGGGCGAAAGCCUGACGCAGCGACGCCGCGUGAGGGAUGAAGGUCCUCGGAUCGUAAACCUCUGUCAGCAGGGGAGCACGGUCACUGUCGUAUUCAGCAGUGAAGUGAAGGUACCUGAAAAGGAAGCACUGGCUCACUCCGAGCCAGCAGCCGCGGUAAUACGGUGGGUGCGUGCGUUAAUUGGAAUUGCUGGGCGUAAAGCGCUCGUGGGCGGGAUGGCAAGUCAAGGGUGAAAUCCCCGCGAUCAACGUGGGAACUGCCGUUGAAACUGGCAAACUGGAGUGUGCGAGAGGAUAGUGGAAUGCGAGGUGUAGGAGUGAAAUGCGUAGAUAUCGGGAGGAACAUCAGUGGCGAAGGCGACGAUCUGGCACAUAACUGACGCUGAGGAGCGAAAGCGUGGGGAGCAAACAGGAUUAGAUACCCUUGUAGUC
rnacentral:rRNA from 1 species